rnacentral:rRNA from 1 species
UGGGGAAUAUUGCACAAUGGGCGCAAGCCUGAUGCAGCAACGCCGCGUGAACGAUGAAGGUCUUCGGAUCGUAAAGUUCUGUUGCAGGGGAAGAUAAUGACGGUACCCUGUGAGGAAGCCCCGGCUAACUACGUGCCAGCAGCCGCGGUAAUACGUAGGGAGCUAGCGUUAUCCGGAUUUACUGGGCGUAAAGGGUGCGUAGGUGGUCUUUCAAGUCGGUGGUUAAAGGCUACGGCUCAACCGUAGUUAGCCUCCGAAACUGGAAGACUUGAGUGCAGGAGAGGAAAGUGGAAUUCCCAGUGUAGCGGUGAAAUGCGUAGAUAUUGGGAGGAACACCAGUAGCGAAGGCGGCUUUCUGGACUGCAACUGACACUGAGGCACGAAAGCGUGGGUAGCAAACAGG